GAGCCCAACUGUCAAGACAACUCCAGACCAGCUGCACUACAAAGAUUCUGAGAGGAGAAAAGCUACGAAGAAGAUUCAGACAAGAAGAGCCAUCUGAAAGAGGUUCAAAGCCCACUGAGCCACCUAGAAAGGACAUUCUCCAAGCUGUAGAGCUGCCUCCAGCUGUGUGAGCUGUCUCUCAUCCUGGGAGUCCAGCCAGGCUGGCCCUGUUUGCCACCAUGUAAGCAAGACGGAAACUAUGGUGGUGCUGGAUGGUCUGGAGUGCAUGUGCUAACGUCUAGAAGCCAUCCCUGAUCCAUUCCUGCCAGCUAGUUGCCGUGACUCACCACAGCCAUGCCACCUGCCAGGCCUUUCCCAGGCUGCUCUGGUCUGGAAGCUUAGCAGCCGUGCAGUAAGUGGAAGAAGUGAAGAAAGUAGCGUUCAGGAGUUGUCCUUUAACCGGGCUGUAGACAUCAGUGGCUGAUUCUUAUAAAAGCAGCCAAGGAAACCAUCACCUCUCUCCCUCCUGUUUGUUCAUCUUCAGUGAUGAGCCCCAGAAAGGGUACUUUCAGAGGCAAAGCACCAGGAUCCCUUAAGACCUGCCUCUCCUGAAGUCAAGUGACACGCAGAGCUGAAGGCCGCAAUGUGGACAAGCCUCCUGGGGUUAUGUGAACCUCCUGAAGUAUUAGUGUGACCCUCCAAGGGUUCUGUGGAAACCACCUGAAAGAACAAAGCAGUAUAAAGAUGCAUGCCCCGCCCCUUUCCUGAGCUUUUGUGUGGAUAAGGGUGCCCCCUAGUGGCUUCCCUCGCCUCUACAUGGGCCUUCCAAAGUCCCUGCAGAUGACCAAUUUAAGCAGAUGAGCCUCGGGGUAAGGAGGGGUUUUGCAUGCUUGUACUUAUUUCUCUGUUCCUGUCUUGGGCUCUUCCCUCUUUCUAGCCCUUCCCGAAGUCCCCCCAACCGAUGCCUUCAAAAUAGCUCACAGUAUAUGGAUCUUUCCUGCGUUGACUUCAGAAUUCAGGGGUGGAUUCCCGCAGACUCGGACAAAUGCUGUUAGAGGGAUGGACUUAGAAUGCUUAUUAGUUAUUCAUACUAUCCGGUGUUUACCACGAGAUAUUAACCGGGCAGGAAGCCACUUGAGGAAAGAGGGUUUAUUUUGUCUCUGUUUCCUUGGAAAGGAAUGGCGGUGAGAUUAGCUUCUGUCUCUAGCCACAGGAGCCUGGAGCGCAACUAACUCACAACAAGGUGGGUAAUGAGGCAGAGAAGAUGAUUAUAACUGCGUUGGGCCUCCUAAAUCCUUUCUCCAGUGACAUCUAUUCUUCCAAAGGUUCCACAGGCUCCAUCACAAAGCACCACCAGCCGGGGACCAAUUUAAGCAGAUGAGCCUCGGGGUAAGGUGGAGAAGGCGGCCAGUGGUGGGGAACAGGUAGAAAUGAUGAAGGCUGUCAAAAGCUACUGUGGAAUUCUGCCCUCCCUGGCAUGGUUAUCACCAUCUCAAAACCAGAGCCGCUCCCAUUACCCACACACCUCUCACUGAGGCAAGAUGGAAACUAUGGGGACAGAGGAAGGGACAAGAGCCCCUCAUGGCAGCUUCUCACCAGCUGAGGAGCCAUAAUUCCAGCACACACUUGUUACAAAGGCUGCCACUGGGAAAUAAUAUUCCUUUCGUAUGUAGAUAAAAGUAACAAUGAACCAGGCU
rnacentral:lncRNA from 1 species